UGACACUUCACUUUGAUAUAUUGAGAGAACUUGAGGGUCCAUGCAAACUGUUACAUACAGGGGCCGUGCAAUCGGCCCACCAGAGACACAAAGGAACAACUGCACCAGCGAAAAACCAGCUCAUUCCUUAGUGUCACAUAAAAAUUUGAAAAAAGAAAAUUGCCUGUUUCCUUUUUAUAUACCGAAAGAUCAUCUUAUGCAUUUCAUUUUGAAUUUGGAAUCUUCCCACCGAGCAACGAUUUUGAUCAGCCUGUCAUUCCAGCCAUGGUGGACUACGAUCUCAAGACAGGCUUCAAAGUGAUGGGGUCAAUCAACC
rnacentral:lncRNA from 1 species